rnacentral:rRNA from 1 species
GAGGAAUAUUGGUCAAUGGACGGAAGUCUGAACCAGCCAAGUAGCGUGCAGGAUGACGGCCCUAUGGGUUGUAAACUGCUUUUGUAUGGGGAUAAAGUUAGGGACGUGUCCCUAUUUGCAGGUACCAUACGAAUAAGGACCGGCUAAUUCCGUGCCAGCAGCCGCGGUAAUACGGAAGGUCCAGGCGUUAUCCGGAUUUAUUGGGUUUAAAGGGAGCGUAGGCUGGAGAUUAAGUGUGUUGUGAAAUGUAGACGCUCAACGUCUGAAUUGCAGCGCAUACUGGUUUCCUUGAGUACGCACAACGUCGGCGGAAUUCGUCGUGUAGCGGUGAAAUGCUUAGAUAUGACGAAGAACUCCGAUUGCGAAGGCAGCUGACGGGAGCGCAACUGACGCUUAAGCUCGAAGGUGCGGGUAUCAAACAGGAUUAGAUACCCUGGUAGUCCGCACAGUAAACGAUGGAUGCCCGCUGUUGGUACCUGGUAUCAGCGGCUAAGCGAAAGCAUUAAGCAUCCCACCUGGGGAGUACGCCGGCAACGGUG